rnacentral:lncRNA from 1 species
GGAACAGCACCCACACCCCCAGGCGAGCAUCUGACAGCCUGGAACAGAACCCAAACCCCCCAGGUGAGCAUCUGACAGGCUGGAAUAGCACCCACACCCCCAGGUGAGCAUCCGACCACCUGGAGCAGCACGCGCAACCCGAGGCGAGCAUAUCACAGUCUGGAACAGCACCCACACCCUCAGGUGAGAAUCCGACAGUCUGAAGCAGCACCCACACCCCCAGGGGAGCAUCUGACAGUCUGGAGCAGCACCCACACAACCAGGCGAGCAUCGGACAGCCUGGAGCAGCACCCACACCCCCAGGCGAGCAUUCGACAGCCUGGAGCAGCACCCACACACCCAGGCGAGCAUCCGACAGACUGCAGCAGCACCCACACCCCAGGGUGAGCAUCUGACAUCCUGGAGCAGCACCCCACACCCCCAGGUGAGCAUCUG